AACGAACGCUGGCGGCAUGCCUAACACAUGCAAGUCGAACGAAGCCUUCGGGCUUAGUGGCGCACGGGUGCGUAACGCGUGGGAAUCUGCCCCUUGCUUCGGAAUAACAGUUAGAAAUGACUGCUAAUACCGGAUGAAGUCUUCGGACCAAAGAUUUAUCGGCAAGGGAUGAGCCCGCGUAGGAUUAGGUAGUUGGUGGGGUAAAGGCCUACCAAGCCGACGAUCCUUAGCUGGUCUGAGAGGAUGAUCAGCCACACUGGGACUGAGACACGGCCCAGACUCCUACGGGAGGCAGCAGUGGGGAAUAUUGGACAUUGGACGCAAGUCUGAUCCAGCAAUGCCGCGUGAGUGAUGAAGGCCUUAGGGUUGUAAAGCUCUUUUACCAGGGAUGAUAAUGACAGUACCUGGAGAAUAAGCUCCGGCUAACUCCGUG
rnacentral:rRNA from 1 species